GCCGGGCGUGGUGGCGCAUGCCUGUAAUCCCAGCUACUCAGGAGGCAGAGGCAGGAGUAUCACUUGAACCCAGGAGUGCAGGUUCAGCCUGUGCAACAUAGUGAGACCUUGUCUCUU
ensembl:misc_RNA Metazoa_SRP Metazoan signal recognition particle RNA